ACACCCUCUUUCCCCUGUUUAAUAUUAUUCGCGAACAUUUUCAUAUCUCGUGUGAAAACAAACUUCCAUAUCUGCGGUAAACAGUUGCAUAAUAUCGAGGACGAGCAACAGGACGUAUCUGUGACAUGUGCAGUUACUUCAACGAUCACUCCAAGAUACAAAAAUAAUGGACAAAAUUCACGAGACCCCUAUAAGUGUGGAGCCCCAGCCAACCGAGCCGUCUGUGGUCCAUUCUGUGAUAGCGACUGGGUUCGAGAGAAUCGUAACCUUAGCGCGACGCGGCAUAUCGUGAUCGCGUUACGGGCAAAAUUCAGACGAUAAAUUCGCAAACCUCUGCGCAGACCAUUGAGAUGCUCGACUGUAGUCGUGCACGCAAAGAAACAAGGGAUAAUAACACGUCAUAGUAGUGAUGGGAUUGAGACGUGGACAAAUAUAGCCCUUAUAAUCCUUCCAAAGCUGAAGCUAAAAAUAAAUGGAAAAUAUUUAAAAUAUUUUACGUUUCGAUACUUUGUUUCGAAGUCAUUCUCAACAUUUAACAUUCAGAAUGUCGUGAAUUAAAUAUUGAAUUAGAAAUAAAAUAAACUCUGGUGAAAUUAUUCUAAUCAGAUAGAUCAGUUACAUCAUUGCUUAGUAAAAUUUCAAUGCUUGAUGUUUGACUUGUGUCUAUAUCACAAAAGAUGUCAACAAAUACAGUUUAGAAAUACCGAUGACAACUUGUUUUGAUACCUGCUUGACGUCUGGGAAUUGAUACGUAUAAACGAGUAUGUUAUUGGAUUUAUCUCAUCGUUACGUUAUAGAUUCACUAAUGAUCAAUUAGUAUUCGAUGUUCGUUUGAACGUUGACGCGAUACCGUGGAUGAAUAACAAAACAACGAUACGACAAAUGUAAUACGCAAAACAAAGAACACACGAGACAAAACAAUCAGUGGAUCGCCAUUUUCUUGUUUACAAACAUUUUAUUUACGUGAAUACGCGCAGGCCCAUCGAGCAUUCAUCUUUGUGCUUAAUUACACGAGUCACGUAUCCGUACGCCAGUGGAAUUCUAUGUUGAGGUUUAUGAGCAUUUUGUCGGACGAAGGAUCACCGAUAAAUCCAAUUUCCAUGUGGAAAACUUGGAUGGGUGUUCGCUGGAUGGAAAAAAACAAACUUCGAACCGAGUAAAUUGUAUUUCGUUUUUGUAUCGGUAAACUAGGAACGCUGAUACGAAGCGCUGAACGCGUUAUAUAUAAAACACGGCCUGGCAUCGAACAUGAAUAGUAUCAAAAACACGAAUAUAAAUUCUAUGGCAAUUAUUUUGGUGGUACGAUUUAAAAUAUGUAUUCGGACAAGCUUGUACGUGUACGAAUCGAAAGAUAAUAAUUUUGCGGUUUCGAGUAAGCUUUUAUUUAUUUUAUGUAUCCACUCUUUGACUUGGAAUCAUUUUUAGAAUCUGCAAACGUUACAAAUUAAUUUACCAGGUCAGCAUAUAAAAAACAUAUGAUUGAAUUUAUACAGGGUGUCCCAAAAAUGUUGUAACACUUUGAAAGGGGUGA